GUCGAAUGUUCAACUGGUACAAUAAAGACUCUUAAUCUGGCUGUCGCGGGUUCGAGCCCCGCAUCGGGCU